AUGAACGCUGGCGGCGUGCCUAAUACAUGCAAGUCGAGCGAACAGACGAGGAGCUUGCUCCUCUGACGUUAGCGGCGGACGGGUGAGUAACACGUGGAUAACCUACCUAUAAGACUGGGAUAACUUCGGGAAACCGGAGCUAAUACCGGAUAAUAUAUUGAACCGCAUGGUUCAAUAGUGAAAGACGGUUUUGCUGUCACUUAUAGAUGGAUCCGCGCCGCAUUAGCUAGUUGGUAAGGUAACGGCUUACCAAGGCAACGAUGCGUAGCCGACCUGAGAGGGUGAUCGGCCACACUGGAACUGAGACACGGUCCAGACUCCUACGGGAGGCAGCAGUAGGGAAUCGUCCGCAAUGGGCGAAAGCUUGACGGAGCAACGCCGCGUGAGUGAUGAAGGUCUUCGGAUCGUAAAACUCUGUUAUUAGGGAAGAACAAAUGUGUAAGUAACUAUGCACGUCUUGACGGUACCUAAUCAGAAAGCCACGGCUAACUACGUG
rnacentral:rRNA from 1 species